GGAUCUGAGGGUGAUCUUGCUGUGACAUCUGUCACCCCAUUGAUUGCCAGGGUUGAUUCAGCUGAUCUGGCUGACUAGGUGGGUGUCCCCUUCCUCCCUUACCUCUUUAUGUGUGUCCCUCAUGAAGCUUUGGUCAACCUUCCCAGAAUCGAUACUGACUGGCCUUCAGUCAAGAGUAUAUGAGUAGAUGCACUCUCCUGUUAGAACCCCCCUCCAAAUAAGCUCUCAAGAAAUGGACUCCACGUGGUGUGAAACACAAGGACCGGUGUAAGAAUCCUGGUUUGAGCUCCCGGCUCCCCACCUGCAG
ensembl:misc_RNA 7SK 7SK RNA